rnacentral:rRNA from 1 species
GACGAACGCUGGCGGCGUGCUUAACACAUGCAAGUCGAACGAAGUGGCGAACGGGUGAGUAACGCGUAAUCAACCUGCCCUUCAGAGGGGGACAACAGUUGGAAACGACUGAUAAUACCGCAUACUGAAGGAGGGGAUUGCGUGUGAUUGGCUAGGUGGAGGGGUAACGGCCCACCAAGGCGAUGAUCGGUAGCCGGGCUGAGAGGAUGAACGGCCACAUUGGGACUGAGACACGGCCCAGACUCCUACGGGAGGCAGCAGGGGGGAAUCUUCCGAAAUGGAAGAAAGUCUGACGGAGCAACGCCGCGUGGGUGAUGACGGGCUUCGGGUUGUAAAGCUCUGUUAAUCGGGACGCGGUACCGGAAUAGAAAGCCACGGCUAACUACGUGCCAGCAGCCGCGGUAAUUC